UACGGAGGGUGCAAGCGUUAAUCGGAAUUACUGGGCGUAAAGCGCGUGCAGGCGGUCUGGUAAGUUGGAUGUGAAAUCUUCCGGCUCAACUGGGAGAGGCCGUUCAAUACUGUCAGACUAGAGGGCGACAGAGGGAGGUGGAAUUCCCGGUGUAGUGGUGAAAUGCGUAGAUAUCGGGAGGAACACCAGAGGCGAAGGCGACCUCCUGGGUCGCACCUGACGCUCAGAUGCGAAAGCUAGGGGAGCGAACGGGAUUAGAUACCCGUGUAGUCC
rnacentral:rRNA from 1 species